rnacentral:rRNA from 1 species
GAUGAACGCUGGCGGCGUGCCUAAUACAUGCCAGUCGAGCGAACAGAUAAGGAGCUUGCUCCUUUGACGUUAGCGGCGGACGGGUGAGUAACACGUGGGUAACCUACCUAUAAGACUGGAAUAACUCCGGGAAACCGGGGCUAAUGCCGGAUAACAUUUAGAACCGCAUGGUUCUAAAGUGAAAGAUGGUUUUGCUAUCACUUAUAGAUGGACCCGCGCCGUAUUAGCUAGUUGGUAAGGUAACGGCUUACCAAGGCAACGAUACGUAGCCGACCUGAGAGGGGGAUCGGCCACACUGGAACUGAGACACGGUCCAGACUCCUACGGGAGGCAGCAGUAGGGAAUCUUCCGCAAUGGGCGAAAGCCUGACGGAGCAACGCCGCGUGAGUGAUGAAGGUCUUCGGAUCGUAAAACUCUGUUAUUAGGGAAGAACAAAUGUGUAAGUAACUGUGCACGUCUUGACGGUACCUAAUCAGAAAGCCACGGCUAACUACGUG